UACGAAGGGUGCAAGCGUUAAUCGGAAUUACUGGGCGUAAAGGGUGCGUAGGCGGUUCGGUAAGUCUGGCGUGAAAGCUCUCGGCUAAACCGGGAGAGGUCGUUGGAUACUGGCACACUAGAGGAUGGUAGAGGCGUGUGGAAUUCCGGGUGUAGUGGUGAAAUGCGUAGAGAUCCGGAGGAACACCAGUGGCGAAGGCGACACGCUGGGCCAUACCUGACGCUAAAGCGCGACAGCAUGGGGAGCAAACGGG
rnacentral:rRNA from 1 species